GUCUACGGCCAUGAUACUCUGAACAAGCUCGAUGUCUGAUCUUGGAAGCUAAGCAGGGUCGGGCCUGGCUAGUACUUGGAAGGGAGACCACCUAAGAAGACCAGGUGAUGUAGGCA
rfam:Pteropus alecto contig53525, whole genome shotgun sequence.